rnacentral:lncRNA from 1 species
AGGGAUGUAAAUGGGCAUGGAUACCCGAAAUUUUAUCCAAGCCCGAAUCCGAAUAGAGUGAAUUUAUUCGAUGUUAAAUAGAUAUGGUUUCGGAUAUAGAUAUCACAAACAAAAACCAGACGGAUAUGAAUACGGAUAUGGAUUUUGACUGUACCCAACCCAAACCCGAAUUUAUUUUACAUUCUAUAUAAUAUGUAUAUAAAAAUUUGAUGUUAUAUUUGAAUUUGUAUUUUAAAAAUUUAGACCUAAUGUAAUAUAUUUUGAAAUAUUAAAAAGAGAAAUAAUUGUUUCGUGUUUCGAUUUUCGGGUUUGGAUUCGGUUUCGAUUUCGGAUUUUUGGUCGGGUAUGGGUUUGGAUAUGGAUUUUUAAAAUCCGUCAAGUUCGGGUUCGGGUUCGGGUUCGGGUUUUAGGGUUUGGAGUCGGGUUCAUGUUCGGAUGUUACGACAAACACACAAACGGAAAUAAAAUGACGAACACAAAACAAUCAAACCACAAGCAGAAAAUAAAGAUAACACACAGAUUUACGUGGAAAAUCCUUUGUAGGGAAAAACCACGGGCGAGGGAGGAGAGAACUUCACUAUCGAAAACCAAAAGGGAAUACAAUGUUCAGAUAGUACAACCAACCACGAUUUCACGCCUUUAGGGCAAAAACGAAAAGGAAAACUCUUAACAGGUUUCGGAUCUGAUCCGUACCGUGGGGGCGGGAGCCCCUCGCACCCCCUGGCGAAUGUCAGUGGUGGGCUGUCAGCCCGAGCCCUCCGCUACCCACCAAAGACAUUCAUUUUUCCUUCGCAAAAUUUAUUUUCCAAUUUGGUCGCACCGCGAAACUGUCGGCGAGUCGAAAAUCCAAACUUGAGUCGAUUAUCAAUUUCGAGUCACAUCUAACAUCGGAUUUUUCAAAAUCCGCCUCGAAUCCAACCUGUUGAUAUCACUACUCCUACCUCCCAAACCCUUUCAAUACAUCAUUUCUCUCUCUCUCUCUCUCUAAUCCUAUUCUCGCACGAACCCUUCCCCACCACCAAUCUCAGCCAAGUGCGAGCCGCCACCUCUCUACCACUGACAUCGUCCUCUCUGCCACCAAAGUUGCCGCCAAUGUCGCUGCUGCCACCCUCUCCGCCUACACCGCCACCGUCACCGCCGCCACUCUCUCUGCCGGCAUUAUUUCGGCUUCAAAAAUAAAAAUCCUAGUUUUUCUUGUUUAAAUUUUUGGUUUAGUUUUGAAUUUAUGAUUUUUUUUCCAUGUGUUAUCUUUUUAUUUAAAUUGUUUAUUAGUAGAAUUAAUUCAAGUACAAACUAUGUUGUUAUAUGUAAAUUUAUAAAAUAUAUAAUUUGAGGG